AUUUAUCUAUGUGGUGCUGAGGAUUGAGCCCAGGGCCCCCGCAUGUGCUAGGCGAGCGCUCUACCAUUGAGCAACAGUCCCAGCCCCCCUCAACUGUUUGACAAUACAUAGAAACUACAAAGUUACACAAAAUAAUUUCAUUUACAUCCUUUCACUAACAGGCUAUGAAUGAAAGAUUAAGGGAUAAACAUGCUACCUUCAUCCAGAUCAAGACUUCUCUAACAUUCUUUUUUUUUUCAUCAACUAAGAUGUUAAAAUCCAAGCAGUUUCACUUAUGACUGUACCUCUAAUCUCAUACUCUUCUCUUCUGAAUGUCUAAGCUGGGGCAGAGUUCCCUUUCAAAGCUGACCUUCUCAACCUUGAGACUGAAGAAAGCAGUCUCCCAGCUGGAGCAUGGCCAUGAUGCUUUACAACAGGCCAAGUCACCACGCAGGUGCAAAUGAUGCUUCAACAGUUAUCAAAAUUUAAAACCAGCUGGGCACAGUGAAGCACACCUGUAAUCCCAGGGGCUAAGGACGCUGAGGAAGGAGGAUCUCGAGUUCAAAGCCAGCCUCAGCAAAAGCAAGACACUAAGCAACUCAGUGAGACAUAUCUCUAAAUAAAAAUACAAAAUAGAGCUGAGGAUGUGGCUCAGUGGUUAACUGCCCUGAGUUCAAACCCCAGUGCCAAAAAACAAAAAACAAAAAAACCAUUAAAACCAAAAUGAGCAAUGCAUUAAUAUGGAACUUCCACAUUUUUGGAUGCAGCAAAAGUCCUCUGAAGGUGGCAGAACUGUGACAGAAAAGGCACUUUGUGCUAAAUUUCAAAGGAUCGCUUGUGAGAAAAUGCCACAGAAGAGAAGACCAGUCAGUCUAAGCCACAGAUGACCUUUUAGGGUGGGGGAAGUAUGCACCAGAAAGGCAUCAACAAAGGAAAAAUUUGUAAUCAUGAUUCCAAAUCAUGAUUUGGAAAAAUGGCUGCUUAAAUUUAGGAGAGGGAAACACCAAGAGAGAAGACAAAAUGAUUGCACCAGGGAUCAAGGAGUGAACUUCACAGGGAUUUAUCAGCCAGCUAUGCACUUUCUAUUGAGCUGGAAUCUUCACCACUUCCAAGGAGGUUCUGCACACUUCGCAAGAGAGGAACCCUAGCCAGCGCUUUCCUUGCUUUGAUCCCAGAAUACACUGAGUUCCGGCUGGCAGCACUUACAGGUAUGGCUAGUUCAUAGCAGCAUCCGUCUUAGGGAUUUCCUGAUACAGCCUGAAGACAAUGUGAGGGUUUCCACCUGAUCCAGAACUCCUUGGCAAUGCCCAGUGGCUUUGGGGGCCUUCUAAGAGCAACAACAGAUCAAGCUAGCUAUUGUUCUCCCAUCAACACUCAGAAGAUCAGCAUGAAUCUUUAGAUGGAUGGGAAAAGGGAGAUAAAUCAGUGGUCUGAGGGUCUUUAUUUUAGUACCAUCAAGUGCACCAUGAAUGGACGCUAAGAAAAGCCUAAAAAGUUCAAGGCUGA
rnacentral:lncRNA from 1 species